rnacentral:lncRNA from 1 species
AACAUUUAAUGGAUGAUGAUGAUGACAUGGCUGAGAUGUAUUUGACUGAGAAGAAAGAAAGAUCAGAGGCUCAUGCUUCAGUGGAGUUAGAAGAUAACCUAGAUGACGAUUUUGGAUCUUCAGGAAUAGUUUCCAAGUCUGCGCCGGUUUCACCUGUGGGUUCAACUAGUGGAAACCUUGGGAAGCUUCAAAGAGCCUUUAGUAGUGUGGUUGGCUCACACAGAAGCUUGUUAAGCUCAUCUAGCAGCGGAGAGAACAUCGACCAACUAGAGAUGUUGCUAGAAGCCUACUUCGUCGUUGUUGAUAACACACUCAGCAAACUAUCAUCGGUUAGAUUCUUACAUUUGUUACAGAGAGAUGUUUUAUUUCUAUUCACCGUUUUGAUUUAUGAUCUUGUGUUUGCAGCUGAAAGAGUAUAUUGAUGAUACAGAGGAUCUGAUCAACAUUAAGCUGGUAACAACAGACAAAACCAAGCUUUGUCUAUUUUGCUCUUGUUUCAUCUUAACUUCUCUAGAGUCUCUGACUUUGUGUCCAUGAUUCUUUCUUAGGCGAAUGUACAGAAUCAGUUGAUUCAGUUUCAACUGCUUCUCACCGCAGCAACCUUUGUGGCAGCCAUUUUCGCAGCUGUAACAGCGGUUUUCGGGAUGAACCUGCAAGACUCUGUUUUCAAAGAUCCGACCAUGUUCCAGUGGGUUUUGCUUGUAACAGGUAUUGGAUGUGGACUUUUGUAUUUUGGUUUUGUGUUAUACUUCAAGCACAAGAAAGUAUUCCCUCUCUAAUACUCUUUUUUUUUUUGUUAGUGAGACUUGAGUUACUAUUGUAAUAAUUUUCAUUGUCAAACUCAGUUUAGGCUUAGUCCAAGAUUUGGGUAUUGAAAAGUGAUGAUAAAAGCCAAGGAAUUGUAGAGCAUUACAUAUGAAAUCUAAUCAAUUAAAGAAGUUCGAAACUUAUAAGUCAAAAGGCAUUGUCAAUGGCCAGAACCAAAGCAUGUUCAACCCCAUACCUGUCGACAGCUCAAGAAAACGUAUGAACUGGGAACGGGAAGCACAACGCUAGCCCAUUCAACGUGUCCCCAAACAUCAUCACCACCACCCUCUCUUUCAAGCGCAAUCACCGAGCACCAAAUGUUCUUGUUUUCACCCUGGCCAGGCUUGUCCCACAAGAUUAAGAGUUUCCCACAGUAGUUAGCUACUGCAAGAGCACCAGCACAACCAUUCCUAUUCAAUACCUCCAAGCCUUUGACCAUUCUCCAGUUUUGAAGCUUUGUGUCAAACCACGAGACGGUUUUAAAAAACACCGGUAUCACACUUUUGAUCUCCUAUAGUUCGGUCUAUGUUAGAAACCGAGUUCCAUCCAGGAGAUAGUCUCCACGUGGCUUGAUAUACGUUUGUCUUUCGUCUCUGGUUAAAAAGAAAGGAAGGCGUUGUUACUGUGUAAAGUAAAACAGAGGAAGUAAUUGCUCUUCAUCUUCUGCUGCUUCUGCUUGGGGAAACUGAAAUAGAUUCUAAACGAAAGGUGAAGCUCUCAUUUUUUUCUGGAAUCUUAGGUUUGGUUUCGUUACUUUCAUGAAUUGUUACUUUGUUUGAUCGUAUGGAUUUGAGAAUAUCGACCUAAUUGAUCGCCGGCGAUUGGUAAUUCGAUAGUCUUAAAGGAUCGGUUUCUUCGAAUUUUUAGAAAUUUUGCUACUGAAUUUGAUCAUCCUUUACUGUAAAUUUUGUGGCUUUUCUUCAUUUCUCGAUUAGCAACUCAAUACCCAGUUAUUCAAAUCUAGAUUGAUUUGGGAAUUUUAGAGGGUUCACAAAGGUUAGGUUCUUGAUGAUCAACGCAGUUUCUGGUAGAAAUGUUCACUACUAAGUUUUAGAAGGCUUUUUUUGUGCUCUCAAUCUCUUUGUUAACUCCUCGGAGAGAGAGAGAGCAGUUGAAUGAGAUGAGCUUACAUGGUUGCUAAAUAGAUUUCGAUUUCAUCUCAAAACUGUUGUUUUCAGGUUGCAAAUCUGUAGCUUUGCAGUAGUUUGCUUAUGAUACAUCAACCUUUGCAGUAAUCUGUGAGCAAGAACUGAUAUAGAAGCAUGGGAGAACAACCUGAUCCGUUCUCCGCUUCUACUCUACCGGAUUUCAUAUCUUCCCAAAAGAUUGGUAGACCGGUUACUCUCGAAGGCCAAAGCAACCGUGGCCAUCCUUACUCCGGCCUCAAGAAGAGAGGGCAGUCUAGUCGUUCAUGGGUCAAGAUUGAUGAGAAUGGGAACUCGACGGUUUUGGAGCUGGACAAGGCAACUAUAAUGAAGCGCUGUUCCUUACCUUCAAGGGAUUUGAGGCUUCUGGAUCCUUUGUUUAUUUACCCCUCGAGUAUCUUGGGGCGUGAAAGAGCCAUAGUGGUCAGCCUUGAGAAGAUUAGAUGUAUAAUCACUGCUGAGGAGGUUAUUCUCAUGAAUGCUAGGGAUGCGUCUGUUGUUCAGUACCAGUCUGAACUCUGUAAACGCCUCCAGUCUAACCAAAACUUGAAUCUCAAAGGUCAGUUGAUUUUUUUUUUUUAUAUUAGCUUUGGUGGUUUGGAGUUAUGAUAGUUGUUAGAUUGCUGAUAACAUAAAGAACUGUUGGUUUCAGAUGAUUUGCCUUUUGAGUUUAAAGCGUUGGAGCUGGUUUUGGAAUUAUCUUGCUUGUCUUUAGAUGCACAGGUAUGCCACCAUUUGCCUCUAACGUCAUUCUGCAAGAUAGUUGUUGUAACUACAAAAAGCUUUUGGUGGAUUUGAUUUUGAAUAGGUGAAUGAGUUAGAGAUGGAGGUGUAUCCUGUUCUUGAUGAACUAGCCACAAACAUCAGCACACUUAAUCUAGAACACGUAAGGAGGUUAAAAGGUCGUCUCCUUGCCUUAACACAGAAAGUUCAGAAGGUAAACACACAAAGAACCCUUCAAAAUUUAGAAAAAUCGGCACCAUACAUUUUGAUUUUGAGGGUUUCUUAAAUCUUGCAGGUUUGUGAUGAAAUAGAACAUUUAAUGGAUGAUGAUGAUGACAUGGCUGAGAUGUAUUUGACUGAGAAGAAAGAAAGAUCAGAGGCUCAUGCUUCAGUGGAGUUAGAAGAUAACCUAGAUGACGAUUUUGGAUCUUCAGGAAUAGUUUCCAAGUCUGCGCCGGUUUCACCUGUGGGUUCAACUAGUGGAAACCUUGGGAAGCUUCAAAGAGCCUUUAGUAGUGUGGUUGGCUCACACAGAAGCUUGUUAAGCUCAUCUAGCAGCGGAGAGAACAUCGACCAACU